AAUAAGUUUUUUUAAAUGAAUCCUACAGACGAAGAACCAUAUAUGUGACAAAAAAAAAAGAGAUAUACAUGAAAAAUCAUUAUUGGACACCCUUUUUCUAUAGUGAACCGGUUUCACAAGCUUUCCAUGCGCUAAUUAACAAUCAUUUUAAAUUUCAAGAUAGGCUCUCGUGGAAUAACCGUUUAUGUGCACCACUCAGAAUGGACGGACAAGCGCACAACUUUUCUGUUGCUGAUGAAAAUCGCCAAAAUGUGGAAAAGAAACGUAAAACAAAACUAAAAUAAUGGAAAGACAGGCAAAGGAAGAUCUUACGGGAUGCGGGAAAACCCUAUAAAAAUCGUAAGGGUCAAGAAAAAACUGGGAAAAGCUGUCCAAAAGAGCAUGAGGUGAAACGGAGACGUAAACCUGAGGAUACAAAGGAGAACAAACGACAGAAACAAACCUUCAAAUACCAUGUAGAGCAAGCAGGCCAGAGAUUGAAUGUGUGCAAGGUCACUUUCAUGUCUGUGUUCCAGCUAACCAACAGCCGUCUUCAGGCAAGUGAAAAUAUGAAGAGAAGAGAAGAAUACCACAGCAUUUUCAAACAGCAGAGUCUCAAUUUCGGCCAACCCAGGAGUGACACCUGUGGCAAAUGUGACGCAUUCUUCACUAAGAUGUCAGCAGCAACAUCUGAAGAGGAGAAGAGGAAGAUUGCAGUUGAAAGUGAGUUGCACCAUCGAAAAGCCGAAAAGGCCUACAAACAGCUUCAAAGUGACACUGAGUGGGCUAAAGCCAAUGCUGACUGUCAUGUCAUUUCUGUGGAUCUACAGGGGUGAUGUACACCCCUAAUCUGGCCCACUCCAAUGUCUACUACCAGCGGCAGCUGUCAAAUUUUAACCUUUGCAUCCAGGAACUUGGAAAAGAAGAUCCUGCAUACAUGUGUGUUUGGCAUGAGGGGAUUGCACACCGAGGGUUCAUUGAGGUGGCAAGCUGCAUAUUGAACUGGGUGAAGACAAAAUUCACGCCGCUCACCAAACCAGAGGUGCGCAAGUUGAUCAUCUUCAGUGACAGAUGCUGUGGGCAGAAUAACAACUGGCGGAUGCUCAAUCUGAUGUCGAUGCUCGUCUCUGGGUUACUUUACCCUAGUUGAGCAGAAGUUCAUGGUCUGGUCAUUCUUUUCUUCCUUGUGAUCGAUCUUUUUCCACCAUCGAGAAGAGGCGCACGGUGUCAGUCCUUCAUACACCUGAUGAUGUUUCAAAGAUGAUACUUGAAGCACAACCAGCAAAACCAUUCAAGGUGAUGAGGAUGCAAUGUGAAGACUUCAGGCACCUCCCAGAUUCUGUUCUCAAGCGACCAGCUGGACUACAGAUCACCUCAGUGAGGUGGUUAAAAGUCACAGUUGAUCCUUGGAAUCUGUACGCCAGACAGAGCCACAGUCUAUUUGAGGGAUGGAAAUCGUGGCUGAUCUCCAAACCAAAACAAGGAGCUACACCACAACCUCCCUAUUUUGCAAGCCACUACCCUAGAGCAUAUGAGAGUCCUCUGCCCAUCAAAAGAAACAAGUACCAAGAUCUGAUGACCAUGCUCAACUACUUGCCAGCUGCUGCACGCUCUUUUUAUUAAUCACUGUAGAGUGAAUAAUUUGUUGUUAAACCAAGCUACAUAAUUAACAGUUUUUUUCUGUGAGUUUAUGAUCCCCUGAACCUGUAUAGUAUGUUGAAUCUGAAUACAUUUCAGAAGAGAUGUCACCCCUAUUGUAGGAAAUUAAAUGUAUGGUACGUAUUUUCUAUGUGAAUCAAUUUGUGUAGGAUUUGAACCAGCACAAUAUAUUUAAUUAAUUAAAUUUUAAGAUGUUGUUCCUAGUGUAGAAAAUGUUAUGUACAAUGUGUUCUGUUGAGAAUUAUUUUGCGUGUGAUCAUUAGAUUUAAAAAAAAUCUGAAUUAAUUAAAAACAAAUAAGUCAUCACA